rnacentral:lncRNA from 1 species
GCACAUAGAAGGGAAAAGUGUGUCCAAUACCAUAGAGCUGGAGAAGCUGGGAUGAGCUUUCCUCUCGAGGUCGUGUCUUUCUUCUCCACCCAGUGCCGUGAGCUCUGCUAAGAAAGAGGGAAGGAAGGCUACUUAAGGCAGUGUCUAUCAUACCCCGGCCAGGUACCAGGAACUCUGCAACGCUGUCUAUCAAAACUAUAGCCACACAUACUGAGUCUGCACUUUACAUCUAGGUAUCCUAAGAGACUCAAGGUCAGGAGACUUGGUGGUCAUACAUUGUCUGUGAGAUACUAGUCUGACAGUGUGUGGCAUUCCAUGUAAGGGCCUUGUGCUUGUAGAUUCAGCAUUAUUAAAUACAUAAUAAUGGAAAUGAAAAAUUAAAUCUAAAUCUAUCAUCCCAUGUUGCUAGGUUUUAAAUUAAAGUUACAUUGUCACAGCAUUUUCAAGGCCCCCCUGAAAACUUCUGGACUGUUCCAAACCCAAUUGUCUUAGUGAGGGUUUCUAUUGCUGUGAGAAAAAACCCUUACAAAAACAAGUUCGGGGAGAAAGGUUUACUCAGGUUAUACUUCCAUAUCCUUGUUCAUCCUUAAAGGACAUCAGGGCUGGAACCUGGAGGCAGGAACUGAUGCAGAGGUCAUGGAGAGGUGCUGUUUCCUGGCUUGUUCAGCCUGCUUUUCCAUAGAACCCAGGACCACCAGCCCAGGGGUGGCACCACCCACAGUGGUCUGGGCCCUCCCUCAUCAAUCACCAAUUAAGAAAUGCCAGACAGGCUUGCUUACAGCUCAGUCCUAUGCAGGUUCCCUCUCUAACAUGACUAGCUUGCGUCAAGUUGACACAAAACCAGCCAGCACACCAGUUCACCAUGAUGGUAGCCUCUGAAGCAAGGUGGAGCUAGAGACUGGGUAGGGGGAUGAAGGAUCAAAGAUGAUUUGAGUUUUUCUAUAAUGUCCCAAUAUCUUCAAAGUUGCCUGGGCUCAUUGCUGAGUCUGUCAAAGCUAACGUUUUUGUUUUUUCUAAAUGGUUACUAUGGACACUGAAUCGGGUAAGGGAGGAUGCCUGCCCUCAGAGCACUCUCAGACGCUGUCAGGAAGCAGGACCGAGGAGAAACAGGGGGAGAGCCACCAAAACGUCUGCUUCUGUUUUCCUUCAAGUUGAUUUAAGAGAGCCUCCCAUUUGGAGGCAGGCAGGGGAUGUGGCAGUACAGGACACUUAGAGAUAAUCCAGGGGUCACACCGACCACUGUCACGGUACGGGAGUAAAAGCCACCCUUGGACUCAGGUUCAGCAGAGGGUAAGAGGUAGCCUCUCUCCAUAAGGCCAAGUCCCAUCUGCACAGAUGUCAUACUGACAAGCCACCACCACCAAGAGGCUCCCACUGUAAACAGUGAGGAACCCGUAGGAGGUGUUUGGGUCUUUGGCUCACAGCAGGGAAUUCAGAUACCAUAAAGAGUCUUCCUACUUUGGGGGCAGCAGAGAUUGAACAGAGAAAAAUUCUCUAAGAUGAUUUCCUUUUAGGGAGAAAUCCCGCAAGCCAGUGGCGUGCUGGCGUGCCUGUUGCUCUCGGGUGUCAUCCUGCAAGCAUCCAGCUCUGUGAGCCUGAGGGGCCUGCCCUGUGUUUCCGCUCAUGGCUGUGCAUUCCUUCCCCGUUCGGCUGAACACCGUUUCCUUUCGACCAAUAGAAAUUUCACUUUACCCCAUGUUGAGUAUUUAACAAGACCCUAGUAAGAGAGGACAUGCCAGUGUGAUAAGUCACCUACUUCUCAAGGAAUAGUCGAACACUACAGUCAGGUCAACCUGAAAGUAUAAUCAGGGGUUACUCAGGAGUGGGGAUGGGAAAGACCUUAGAGUGGGACUGAGGUCCACUGUACCCCAUUAAUGUGUGUAGGUGAUUUGUGAAGAAAACUAAAUUAAAACAUAAACUCGGGGCCAGUGAGAUGGCUCUGUAGGUAAAGACACUUGCUGCCAAGCUUACCAGCCCAAGUGUGAGCCCCAGGACACAUGUAAUGGAAGGAAAGAAUGACUGGGUACAAGUUGUCCUCUGAGCUCUACACAUAUGCCAAACACACAUGUGUGCACACACACUGAAUGCUCGCACACAUCAAUAAUAAUAAAUACAAUUUCAUCGACCCAUAUACUAAAUCAGUAAAUAAAUGCUAACAAGUUGUAGACACUGAAGCUGGCCAGCUAGGUGUUCUCGUCUGCUGGACCUUGUACGGUGUCUGGGUCAGUGACCAGAAACUGUCGGCCGCAGACUUAAUGCAGGGAAGGUUGAAGGAGCGAGCAGUGUGGCCUUUGCCUUUGUUUCUGAGCAAACCAAGGCGACCUGGUUUUCAGCCAGCACCAUUGUUCCCAGCUCUCCCCUGAAGUGUCACAUAAUCUCAUAGGAAACUGCCUUCAUUUUCCCAUCUCUGAAAUGGGAUGGUAGCUGCUCCACCUCCCGAGCUGGCCUGCCUUUUUAAAGUCAGUAUCUUUUCUUUUGAAGUCUGUUAUAUCAUUAACAGCUGGCGAGAUAAAUCAUUUCCAAGAUGACAGAGGGUCAAGCCACUGAUCAGGGAGGAAAGAUCUCUCCUGAUGUUCCACUUGGUAAAAAUCAUUGUGAGCCUUGUUUACUUUUCCAAGUACUCACUGUAGGUAUUCAUACCUUUUGCAUGUUACCAAGGAAUCAUGGAUGUUUGCAGAAAGGCUAGGGAAUUUGCACACACACACACACACACACACACACACACACACACACACGCAAUGUGGUACGGUCUGCAUUUCUUGCCUGUUAAUGAAUAAACCAGAAUUCCUAAAGAUGCAAAGGGCCAUAGAAAAGAAUAUUGAGAAGCUAUGGGUGGAAUCAGGUGUUUCAUGUAAUCAGAGUUCUCCAUGAAAAUGGGAGGCCCUUGGGAAAGACCCCCACUGUGUGGAACAGAAUGUAGGUCAGAGCUCCUUUAAGCGCUGUCCUUUAUACAUUAGAACAGACCACAAACUGACCUCAUUUGCAUCAAGCACUAGAUGGCCUCUCUUUCCUGUAAAAAGUAAGUGAGGGCUGGGGUGAGAUUCACUGGGUGAAGGGCUUUUCAUGGAAACAUGAAGACCUGCGUUCAGAUCCCUAGCACCCACGUGAAAGCUAGGGGUGGUAACAAACCUGUCACCCUAGCAAUAGAGAAGGGGACAGACAGACAUCUCAGGGGCUUGCUGGCAGCCAGUCUCAACAGUACAGUGAGCUCCAGGUUCAGUGACUGACCCUAUCUUAAAACAUAGGCAAAGAGAUCAGAUAGAGGCACACAAAGUUGACCUCUUGACUUCCAUGUGCACACACAGGCAAAGUGCAUGUGCAUACACAUGUAUGUGCAUGUACAUGUAUGAAAUGAAGUACCAGAAAAGACGAUGACAGACUCGCAUUCAAAUAACAAUUAUGCCAACAAACAGGAAAAGUUCCACGUUGCUAUCAAUCUGUGAAGUGGGACCCCCAAAGCCCAGGCAGUUUCGAAUCUCUCCAUUUGAUAAAGACAUUUUUCUUCAGAGCACAUUGACAGCUGAGAGUAUGAAGCAUGGCUGUCACCUGGGAAGUUGUCUGGCCACCGUCCUUAAGACAGUCUUGUUAUAUAGC